rnacentral:rRNA from 1 species
GUUGUAUAGUCAAGUAAUUAAGUGCAUGUGGUGGAUGCCUUGGCAGUCAGAGGCGAUGAAAGACGUGAUAGCCUGCGAAAAGCUCCGGGGAGGCGGCAAAUAUCCUUUGAUCCGGAGAUGUCUGAAUGGGGGAACCCACCUACUUUAAGGUAGGUAUUGCAACAUGAAUACAUAGUGUUGCAAGGCGAACGAGGGGAAGUGAAACAUCUCAGUACCCUUAGGAAAAGAAAUCAAUUGAGAUUCCCUCAGUAGCGGCGAGCGAACGGGGAUCAGCCCAUUAAGUUAUGUGUGUUUUAGUGGAACGCUCUGGGAAGUGCGAACGUAGAGGGUGAUAUUCCCGUACACGAAAGGGCACACAUAAUGAUGACGAGUAGGGCGAGGCACGUGAAACCUUGUCUGAAUAUGGGGGGACCAUCCUCCAAGGCUAAAUACUCCUGACUGACCGAUAGUGAACCAGUACCGUGAGGGAAAGGCGAAAAGAACCCCUGUGAGGGGAGUGAAAUAGAUCCUGAAACCGCAUGCAUACAAGCAGUGGGAGCACCUUCGUGGUGUGACUGCGUACCUUUUGUAUAAUGGGUCAGCGACUUAUAUUCAGUAGCGAGGUUAACCGUAUAGGGGAGCCGUAGAGAAAUCGAGUCUUAAUAGGGCGUUUAGUUGCUGGGUAUAGACCCGAAACCAGGCGAUCUAUCCAUGAGCAGGUUGAAGGUUGGGUAACACUAACUGGAGGACCGAACCCACUGUCGUUGAAAAGCCAGGGGAUGACUUGUGGAUAGGGGUGAAAGGCUAAUCAAGCCUGGUGAUAGCUGGUUCUCCCCGAAAGCUAUUUAGGUAGCGCCUCGGACGAAUACCAUAGGGGGUAGAGCACUGUUUCGGCUAGGGGGUCAUCCCGACUUACCAAACCGAUGCAAACUCCGAAUACCUAUGAGUACUAUCCGGGAGACAGACUGCGGGUGCUAACGUCCGUAGUCAAGAGGAAAACAAUCCAGACCGCCAGCUAAGGCCCCAAAAUCAUAGUUAAGUGGGAAACGAUGUGGGAAGGCAUAGACAGCUAGGAGGUUGGCUUAGAAGCAGCCACCCUUUAAAGAAAGCGUAAUAGCUCACUAGUCGAGUCGGCCUGCGCGGAAGAUGUAACGGGGCUAAAACUAUGUGCCGAAGCUGCGGAUGUANNNNNNNNNNNNNNNNNNNNNNNNNNNNNNNNNNNNNNNNNNNNNNNNNNNNNNNNNNNNNNNNNNNNNNNNNNNNNNNNNNNNNNNNNNNNGAAGCAUGCUGGAGGUAUCAGAAGUGCGAAUGCUGACGUGAGUAACGACAAAACGGGUGAAAAACCCGUUCGCCGAAAGACCAAGGGUUCCAGUCCAACGUUAAUCGGGGCUGGGUGAGUCGACCCCUAAGGCGAGGCCGAAAGGCGUAGUCGAUGGGAAAAUGGUUAAUAUUCCAUUACUUCUGUGUAAUGCGAUGAGAGGACGGAGAAGGCUAAAUCAGCCUGGCGUUGGUUGUCCAGGUGAAAGGAUGUAGGCAUGUAUCUUAGGCAAAUCCGGGGUACUCUAUGCUGAGAUCUGAUAGCAAGCUGUACUUGUACAGCGAAGUGGUUGAUGCCAUGCUUCCAGGAAAAGUCUCUAAGCUUCAGUUACACAGGAAUCGUACCCGAAACCGACACAGGUGGUCAGGUCGAGUAGACCAAGGCGCUUGAGAGAACUCUGCUGAAGGAACUAGGCAAAAUGGUACCGUAACUUCGGGAGAAGGUACGCUGUUGUUGGUGAUGGAACUCGCUUCCUGAGCUGACGACAGCCGCAGAAACCAGGCCGCUGCAACUGUUUAUUAAAAACAUAGCACUCUGCAAACACGAAAGUGGACGUAUAGGGUGUGAUGCCUGCCCGGUGCUGGAAGGUUAAUUGAUGGGGUUAGCGUAAGCGAAGCUCUUGAUCGAAGCCCCAGUAAACGGCGGCCGUAACUAUAACGGUCCUAAGGUAGCGAAAUUCCUUGUCGGGUAAGUUCCGACCUGCACGAAUGGCAUAAUGAUGGCGGCGCUGUCUCCAGCAGAGGCUCAGUGAAAUCGAAAUCGCUGUGAAGAUGCAGUGUACCCGCGGCUAGACGGAAAGACCCCGUGAACCUUUACUGCAGCUUGACACUGAACUUUGACCUUACUUGUGUAGGAUAGGUGGGAGGCUUUGAAGCUGGAACGCUAGUUCCAGUGGAGCCGUCCUUGAAAUACCACCCUGGUAAUGUUGAGGUUCUAACUCUGUCCCGUGAUCCGGGACGAGGACCGUGUCUGGUGGGUAGUUUGACUGGGGCGGUCUCCUCCUAAAGAGUAACGGAGGAGUACGAAGGUGCGCUCAGCGUGGUCGGAAAUCACGCGUAGAGUAUAAAGGCAAAAGCGCGCUUAACUGCGAGACCCACAAGUCGAGCAGGUACGAAAGUAGGUCUUAGUGAUCCGGUGGUUCUGUAUGGAAGGGCCAUCGCUCAACGGAUAAAAGGUACUCUGGGGAUAACAGGCUGAUACCGCCCAAGAGUUCAUAUCGACGGCGGUGUUUGGCACCUCGAUGUCGGCUCAUCUCAUCCUGGGGCUGAAGCAGGUCCCAAGGGUAUGGCUGUUCGCCAUUUAAAGAGGUACGCGAGCUGGGUUUAGAACGUCGUGAGACAGUUCGGUCCCUAUCUACCGUGGGCGCUGGAAAUUUGAGAGGAUCUGCUCCUAGUACGAGAGGACCAGAGUGGACGAACCUCUGGUGUACCGGUUGUGACGCCAGUCGCAUCGCCGGGUAGCUAUGUUCGGAAGGGAUAACCGCUGAAAGCAUCUAAGCGGGAAGCCUACCUCAAGAUAAGAUUUCCCUAGGACUUUAUGUCCUCUAAAGAGCCGUUCGAGACUAGGACGUUGAUAGGUUGGAUGUGGAAGCAUAGUGAUAUGUGAAGCUGACCAAUACUAAUUGCUCGUGAGGCUUGACUAUACAACACCCAAGCAGUUG